rnacentral:lncRNA from 1 species
UCACAUAACUGUACACACAUGGAACAACAUGUGAGAAUCCAGAUCACUGUAAUGUCCCAGCUGACAUCUGUCUUUCUUGUAGGGGGUUGGUGUGUUUUCCUCAUUGGUCAGAAGUGCCAGAAGAUCUCAGAACAGGAGAGGCAUGUUGGCUGUAGCAGAAUUAUCCAGCUACAUCAGACGGAGGAUUUCGGAGUUCACUGGGCAGCAUGAACCAUCGUGGAUUGAUCAACAUGUGAAGAGCAGAACUUAUUACCUUGAAGAGUUUGAAAUUUUAAUAGACGAGCUGCUCUUCAGACUUGAUGUCAUGUCCAACUACCUGCAACACACGCUGCCCCUGAAAGCCCAUCACUACAUGGAGGAGAGUCCCAACAUGGACAUACAGAAUUUUUUGAGAAAACAAAUGACAGAAGAGACAAGAGUGAACUAUCACACAGAUUCCAAGAUCCAGAGAGAAACCCGACCUCCAUCUUACAUGAGCAGGUAAUUAAAAUGUGUCUAUAGCUCAAGCUGUGCACUGUUCUUAAAUCAAAAUCAAAAUAUCAUGAAUCACAAAAUGAUAAUAAUUCUGCAUGAUGCUCCUCUACCAGGUCCAAGCUUGAUUCACAGAGACUACAUUCUCGACAACAGGGAGGCCGACAGAGAACCCCUUCCUCCUCAGACAUUGUUUUAACAUCAGAUUAUCUGCUGCAAACUGGAAAAAGAUCUGAAGAAAAUCAAAAUGAAAGUGAGCCCCAGACUUACUUGAGGGGGGAAAACUGUCUUCCGCUCCCAGAGUCAGUGUCACUCAGCAGGAUUUGGACAAAGGACGUUCUGGAGAAGCAGAGUAACCUGUGGACUAAAACAACUGACUUUAAAACUCAGGCCAACCAUAAAGAGGUGACGGUGGAGGUUCUGGUUCACGAGGAGCCUGGAAUAGCAGAGCCGGAUAAACAGGAGGGUCUUUAUGGCGAUGACGGUACAUGCUGGAUCCAUGCUGGAAUAUGAGAUGUCUUCAAAAUCUUUAUUUUAAGAUCUGCUCUUCUGUUAAGAUGUAGAAUAUACACUGAACAUACUAUACACCUAAACCUCCUGAAACCAACUGAAAUCUAAUUUUUCAUGUAGAGAAAAUUAUAAUGACUUUGUGGUUGAUUAGCUGAAAAUGGAAUUAUGGUUUACAGAACAAAAAUAUGGCUUUAAAUCAGUAUUUCUAGUGUCUGGGUUAUUUUGUCACAAAAAACACUACUGCAAUAAGAUUGAAAAAGAAAAUCUGUAGUUAUGCAUAUUAGUAAGUUA